rnacentral:rRNA from 1 species
UACGGAGGGAGCUAGCGUUGUUCGGAAUUACUGGGCGUAAAGCGCGCGUAGGCGGCUUUGUAAGUUAAAGGUGAAAGCCCGGGGCUCAACCCCGGAACUGCCUUUAAGACUGCAUCGCUUGAAUCCGGGAGAGGUGAGUGGAAUUCCGAGUGUAGAGGUGAAAUUCGUAGAUAUUCGGAAGAACACCAGUGGCGAAGGCGGCUCACUGGACCGGUAUUGACGCUGAGGUGCGAAAGCGUGGGGAGCAAACAGG